rnacentral:rRNA from 1 species
UACGGAGGGGGCUAGCGUUGUUCGGAAUUACUGGGCGUAAAGCGCACGUAGGCGGGUUGUUAAGUCAGGGGUGAAAUCCUGGAGCUCAACUCCAGAACUGCCUUUGAUACUGGCAACCUAGAGGCUGGAAGAGGUUAGUGGAAUUCCUAGUGUAGAGGUGAAAUUCGUAGAUAUUGGGAAGAACACCAGUGGCGAAGGCGGCUAACUGGUCCAGAUCUGACGCUGAGGUGCGAAAGCGUGGGGAGCAAACAGG